GCCGCCUCCCGGACGGUCGCUGGUUUCACGCGAGUGAAGGCAGAGGAAAGUCCGGACACCACAGGGCAGCGCGCCCCGCGAAAGCGGGGGACGGGAACCGCGAGGAACCCGGACGGAAAGUGCAGCAGAGAGUAGUCCGCCGAUGACCCGCAAGGGAACAGGCAAGGGUGAAAGGGUGGGGUAAGAGCCCACCGCUCCGAAGGCAACGACGGAGGCACGGCAAACCCCGCGCGGUGCAAGACAGAACAGGGGAAGGGUCGCCCGCCCGAUCAGGAUCCCCGGGUAUUAGUCGCAUCCCGCGCGAGCGGGGCGCUCCGCGUCAUGCGGGGUGAGAGAAAUGGCCGUCCAGCUCCGACUUGUUCGGGGUGGACAGAAUCCGGCUUACAGGGGGGCGGCACGU
rnacentral:RNase_P_RNA from 1 species